rfam:TPA: Bos taurus chromosome 2, whole genome shotgun sequence.
UCUCUGAUAGCUCAGUUGGUAAAGAAUCUGCCUGCAAUGCAGGAGACCCUGGUUUGAUUCCUGGGUCGGGAA